UUUUGUUAUGAUUAAUUAAUUAUGUUAAUCCUUGCUUUUCUUAAUUACCAAGGCAGUUACUUUUGGCAUGUCGAUUGCUCAUGUCCCUUUGUACAGACACCCCUUGGAGGCACCCUUUGUAAUCCUAUAUAAGACAUCAUCAUCAAUGAAAAGGAGACAGUUGAAUCAUUUGUUGUCUCUCUUGUUUGUUUCUCGAUUCCAU
rnacentral:lncRNA from 1 species